AACAUCCAGAACACCUUCACCAUGGCCUGGGCCACUCUUUUCAUUGGCCUCCUUGCUCACUGCACAGGCUCUGUGGCCUCCUACGUGCUGACACAGCCAUCCUCAGUGUCGGUGACUCCAGGUCAGACAGCCAGGAUGACCUGUGAGGGAAACAACAUUGGAGGUAAGAAUGUGCACUGGUACCAGCAGAAAUCCAGCCAGCCUCCAGUGCUGGUCAUCUAUAAUGAUAACAAUCGGCCCUCCGGGAUUCCUGACCGAUUCUCUGGUGCCAACUCUGGCAACACGGCCACCCUGACCAUCUCCAGUGCCCAGGCUGAGGACGAGGCUGACUAUUACUGUCAGGUGUGGGAUAGUGGCAAUGCUCACGGUUACCUGCUAGGUUACCAGGAUGGGACCACCCCCAGGCAGCACUUCAGGGAGCUUGGGAAACAUCAGCUCCAUUUCUGA